rnacentral:rRNA from 1 species
UACAGGGGGGGCAAGCGUUGUUCGGAAUUACUGGGCGUAAAGGGCUCGUAGGCGGCCAACUAAGUCACACGUGAAAUCCCCAGGCUUAACCUGGGAACUGCGUGUGAUACUGGAUGGCUUGAAUCCGGGAGAGGGAUGCAGAAUUCCAGGUGUAGCGGUGAAAUGCGUAGAGAUCGGGAGGAACACCAGUGGCGAAGGCGGCUACCUGGACCAGCACUGACACUGAGGCACGAAAGCGUGGGGAGCAAACAGG